UAAGAUAGAACAGCCGUUCUUUACAUUACCUAGUUCGUUCAUAUCUACAGUCUACACUCAACGGAAACAACAAAAGAUAUGACCUUCAGGGAAGUUCAUCAAAAAACAAUGCUUGGUAAAACCCAUAUUUCUAGUAACAUUUCCGUACGUACAAGUCCAUGUGCAGGUUGCUCAAUGUCAGCUUACACAAAAUGAACCCAGAGAGAUUUCACCAGAUCGUAUACAAACAAAAGUAGACGAGACUCUUCUAACUUGACUUGCACGCUGCAUCAGUAUUGCUCAUUCGUUUAGAUGGAGUCCGCUUCUUCUUGAGCGAUUGGCUCACAGAUUCAAAAAGAGGAGCCCGGUCAAUAGGUGCAGACAGCCCUGGCAUACCAAGCCGUAAAUCUGUACCGCCAUCUGAACCAAUCCAUGCUAUGCGUUUAACUGCCAUAGCCACAAAUGCGCAUCAAUCAGUGCCGAGUACAAAGUCUCAUUCUUUUGUAGAAAACACUGCCUAUUACAACCUCAGGUAAUAAUUAGACUAAGGUGAUGGGACAACCAUAUGAAUAACCGGUCAGGAGCAAAGAUAUAAACAUAGAUCUUCAUAUCCAGCAGCCGUCUCAAGUUCACACAAUUUAGAAACUUAAUGGAAUCACACCAGUCAACAUGAACUGAUCUAUGCUUAUGAACUUAUAACUUCACAGUAUAAUUUCUCAAUCCAAGAGGUGAUUAGUUAUAUAAUAAACAGAGGGUAGUGAAGGAAAAUC
rnacentral:lncRNA from 1 species